rnacentral:tRNA from 1 species
GUCCAAAUAGCUCAAUUGGUAGAGCGUAAGACUGAAAAUCUUAAGGUUGUUAGUUCGAGUCUAACUUUGGAC